rnacentral:rRNA from 1 species
CCCUUAGAUGUCCUGGGCCGCACGCGCGUUACACUGAACGGAUCAGCGCGUUUUCCCUUCCCGAGAGGGACGGGUAACCUGCUGAACCCCGUUCGUGGUAGGGAUCGGGGCUUGCAAUUAUUCCCCGUGAACCAGGAAUGCCCAGUAAGUGCAAGUCAUAAGCUUGCGUUGAUUACGUCCCUGCCCUUUGUACACACCGCCCGUCGCUACUACCGAUUGAACGUUUUAGUGAGGUACUCGGACUGAGCCUCAGAAGAUUCACGUCUUUUGUGCUGCUCGGGAAGAUUCCCAAACUUGAGCGUUUAGAGGAAGUAAAAGUCGUAACA